UUCCUACGGGGGGCAGCAGUGAGGAAUGUUGGUCAAUGGGCUUACGCCUGAACCAGCCAAGUCGCGUGAGGGAAGACUGCCCUAUGGGUUGUAAACCUCUUUUGUCAGGGAGCAACGCCGGCUACGUGUAGCCGGACUGAGAGUACCUGAAGAAAAAGCAUCGGCUAACUCCGUGCCAGCAGCCGCGGUAAUACGGAGGAUGCGAGCGUUAUCCGGAAUUACUGGGCGUAAAGGGUGCGUAGGUGGUUUCUUAAGUCAGAAGUGAAAGGCUACGGCUCAACCGUAGUAAGCCUUUGAAACUGUGG
rnacentral:rRNA from 1 species